AUUAAUGUCCUCAGUGAAGGUCGGCAUUCAAACAGUCCGAUGCCUCAGCUCGGAUGGACGGAUCCUGUUUCUUCUCUCUGUGAGUAUCUGCCCUGUUUCUGAGGAGAUUCUCUCUGAAGGAGCAGAGCUUAUACCUGCAUGUGUGGGGAAGCCAGCAGAUGCUGCUGCAGCUGCUGGUUUUUGGGAUGAGCCACACCAGGAUCUGCAGAUGGUGUGCUAGCUUGCCCUCUGUCCUCUAACUGCACUGUAGGAUGGACAGUCCUCACAUGUCUCUGCAGGUUUGUGGUGGAACCUGCUCUGAAAGUCAAGUACCAAUAAGCAGCAGUAGGAGGUUUUGAGUAAAUACAGAUACAUAUUGCAGCGAAAUGGACUUUAUUUAGACUUUCAAAGCUAUUUUUAUAAAUGAGACAAGUCAAUGCACUUUUGUAAAUUACGUGUGUUUUGAUAAGAAAUAAGAGACGCAAUUUGGGAAAAGA